CGCUGAGAAUAUAAACAACAACACGUUCGGAUAGUGAGUCUAUCUGAACGCUUGAAAACAAUUCAGUCUAUCAUGUUAUCUCGACCUGUAAACAACAUAGUCCUUCUACAAAAUUUAGAAAAUACAUAUAUAAACCGAAGGAAAUUAUGACAAUCCUUUUUCGUGCCUAUUUAACCAUCGUUCAGAUGUUCCCUUUCCAAGAAGUUAUAAAGGUCAACGUGAAGUAUCUUUUCCGAGAAAUAAUAUCGGCCAUCAACCAUCGACACAAACAUGAGAUUACUCAAAGGACGGAGAUUAAUAAUUUUCAUCCUUCCCAUGAUUUUUCUCCAAGAGAUUACAUCAUAGAUAAAGAGGAAGAAGAAGAAGAAGAAAAUAAAAAGGAAGAAAGAAAAAAUGUUGAAGAAAGUCAGAACACGAAUGUAAUUCGUUGAGAAGGAUCAUCGUUCGGAAUUAAAGAAGAUCUUCAAAAGGUUUACAACUGGUGCCUCGAAAGCGAUAGAAAUGCAAAAUGACAUGAGACGUUGGAAAACUUAAACGCAGUCAGCGAAGUAUCCACGAUAUAUGAAUAUAAAAUCGUAUGAUAUGAACAUAGAAUAGCAUUGUUCAAUGCUGCGAAAGGAACAAAUGAUUUUGAAAUAAUAUUAUCUCGCUUUAGGCUGUUAUCUACCUGAUGCAAGGUGCAACGGGCCAUCCAUUUGCGCAACGGUGAUCAUCAUGAUGACAGGAUGCACCAAAUAAGCGCAAUAAGUUAGCCGUGAUAGCGGAUACAUCAGCCUCAAAGACAGAAGGCUGUCUACCAUUUUAGCUGAACCGGUACAACACUGGAUCACGAUGAAGGCCACUGCUAUUGCCCAGGCAGUAUGACCUAAGGCCGCGUAAAUUGAACUCACUACUACCGUUAAAUUAGCUGGAUAUAAACCGUAGACCACUGAGAACAUUAUCAAUCCUGACAGCAACCAGCCUAUCAACUUUGCGCACUGAAAGUGAAAGGACGAUUCUUCAAUCCUUUUGUUUUUCUUUCUUUUUUUACCUUUUCUUUUUCAUUUUCAUACUUUUCUAUCUUUUAUUAUUAUAAUGAAUCGUUUUCUACUCGACUAAGUCGUGGAAAAAAAAAAAAGAAAAAGAUAAAAAAGCGUCGCGCGAUAUUAUCGUUCUACUUUAUAUUUAGAUGGAACAAAGUUUUGGAAUAUGAAGAUUAAACUUGGUGUUGGCGAAAUAGAAAAUAAUCGUCGUUGGAGGAAGAUCGAUUCGUUGAAUCGAGGCCAUGUUUGGUAGUGCGGUGUGCCUCUUAAGAGAGGCAUACGCCAUUCAUACGAAAUAUAAUACGUCUCCCGAUAAUAUUGUGUCUAGCGGUGUCCUAUUUUCUGCUUUUUAUAAUAUCAUCUUUAGAAUUUUCAUAGAAUUGAGGAUCUUGUAAUGUAACCUAGUUGGUUUUGAAUAAAAAAUAUCCUGUAAUGGUACCAACGAAAUAAGGACCGGCUCUUAACCAAGGCUUAUCGUAGAGUUCGUCAAAAAGGGCAAAUGGUUCUUGUAUUCUAGAUUUGAAAAAA